GAUGAAGAACGUAGCGAAAUGCGAUAAGUAAUGUGAAUUGCAGAAUUCAGUGAUUCAUCGAGUCUUUGAACGCACAUUGCGCCCCCUGGUAUUCCGGGGGGCAUGCCUGUCCGAGCGUCAUUGCUGCCCUCAAGCACGGCUUGUGUGUUGGGCCCCCGUCCCCGGUUUCCCCCGGGGACGGGCCCGAAAGGCAGCGGCGGCACCGCGUCCGGUCCUCGAGCGUAUGGGGCUUUGUCACCCGCUCUGUAGGCCCGGCCGGCGCCAGCCGACACCCAACUUUAUUUCUAAGGUUGACCUCGGAUCAGGUAGGGAUACCCGCUGAACUUAAGCAUAUCAAUAAGCGGAGGA
rnacentral:misc_RNA from 1 species